ensembl:snoRNA
GGAGAAGCAAAGUGAUGAGCAUUACUGGCUGGAGCCCCAAAGAGGCAUGCAUGUGUGUGUGUUGGGGGGUGGGUGUAUCCGUAUCCUUGUCUGUGCAUGCACACGUGUGGCUGGGAGUACGAAUGAGUGUGACUGGUUCUAGGGAACUAGUUAUGUGCCUUCCUUUGGACCAUGACAGUCAAACUGAUAAGAUCUGAUUGCUUC